AUUCUGCAAACACACACUACUGAGACAGAAGCUGUUCAGUCAACUGGGUACCUACACAGUCCUCUUCAGACACCAAACUCAGGAUGCCGUACAUCACAGAUAUUGAUGUUUCCAUUAAUCCUGAACAGGAGCAAGGCCUAAGAAACCAAAGUUUCAAAAUAAUCAAUGUUAAUCUGAACAAAGGUGCUGAAGGAAAUAAUAUUUACCUCUGGUACAAGAAGGGAAGCAGCAAUCCCAUCACCAGAUUGCAGGUUACAUUCACAGAUGAAAUGCAAAUUGGUUUGAGGAACGCAGGUUACCAUAAGGUGGAUAAAGACCUCAAUGCAGGGGCUGGAGGAGAUAACAUCUUUCUCUGGUACUACAAAGGUACAACUGAGUAUGACAACCCUAUAGUGGAACUUAAGGUCACCACAGAUGCAACAGAUGAAGCCCAAAUUUACCAGAAAGGCUGGGAACGACUGGCGUGUGACCUGAAUCGCAAUGCUAACGACAACUGGAUCCAUGUUUGGGUGAAGAAAGAGAAGAAAAUGUACAUCUCUGACAUCAAGGCAACUACCACUUUUGCAUUUGAUAACGAGUAUUUUUCCCAGGGCUACACCCGUGUGGAUGAAAAUGUGAAUCGAGAUGCAGGAGAACGCUCUAUCUUUCUUUGGUAUCGUCAUUCUCUAACACAGUCCCAAAGCAUCAAUCUCCUGGAUGUCUCCACUAACAAUGAGGAAGAGGAAAUCCUUCAGAUACAGGGUUAUACCUGUGUUGGUGUUAAUCUCAAUGAAGGAACAGGAGGCCCCCCGAUAAAUGCCUGGUACAAGAAGGGUUCAGACCAUGCCAUCCAGACCAUCACUGUAAUCAUUCAACAAGAAGUGAGUCCUUAUGAAAAGGCUGGCAUCCAUGUCAUUGGAAAAAAUCUGAAUACAGACAACAAUGGCACCCCCUUGUACCUGGCAUACCCAUGAGAUCAGGGGUUUAAUUUCUGUAUGCCAGGUGAUCAGUAUACCUGUCAAAUUAGCAUAGCAAUACAUAGCUUAGUACAAGAUAGCACAACAACACAAAUACCAUGUAACAUGUUAAAGCAAACCUGUGGAUCAAGUCAGUUUAACACAGUCUUCAUGCAUUUCUUGCAUUUAAUCUUCUAAACAGAUUGUAUUUGAGAUAUCUAUAUUGUUGUUGUUGUUACUGCUUAUGCCUUUUGUGAUAUGGGUCAACAUGAAUUACUUUGCUAACAAAUAAAAAAAAGUUCCAUAUCAAUAAUCAUUGUCAGUCUUUUUUCUCCUAGCCUGAUCAAUGACAACUCAACAGAUGGAAACAGGGACAGUUCACUUUAUACAGCCCUAAUGUUGCACCACCUUGUGGAAGUUAGAUUAAUUACUGCAAAAACAGUUACUGUAGUGUUCAAACAUAAUUCUCCC
ensembl:lncRNA